rnacentral:rRNA from 1 species
UACGGAGGGUGCGAGCGUUGUUCGGAAUCACUGGGCGUAAAGGGCGUGUAGGCGGCCUGCUAAGUCUGAUGUGAAAGCCCGGGGCUCACCCCCGGAAGGGCAUUGGAUACUGGCAGGCUCGAGUCCCGGAGAGGAGGGUGGAAUUCCUGGUGUAGCGGUGAAAUGCGUAGAUAUCAGGGGGAACACCGGUGGCGAAGGCGGCCCUCUGGACGGUGACUGACGCUGGGACGCGAAAGCGUGGGGAGCAAACAGG